GGNAAUCGGCCUUAGUGAUCCGACAGUGCCGAGUGGAAGGGCUGUCACUCAAUGGAUAAAAGUUACUCUAGGGAUAACGAUAACAGGCUGAUCCUUUCAAGAGCUCACAUCUAGAAAGCACACGAAAGAUAUGCAAAUGGUUGACAGGUUUUAUCCCCUGACAGAAAAUUGCUGAUUUUUUCUUUUAAUGAGAUAACCUUAAAGGUAUUUUUCCUGGAAGGUCAAUUACCUCCAUGUACGCAUUAGGAUGAGACACAGCAGAGGAUGCACUAAAAAAAUGUAUAUCUGAAAAGAGUGCGUGUAUGUCUUUUGGCAUUUUGCAUUUGAAUGUCCUUCAACUGAUCAUAUGUUAAAUAUGUUAUUUGUUGUUUUUUGCAUUUUUAUAUUAGUACCCAAAUAUAACGAAGAAUAAAUAUUUUUCCAUUUCGAUGAAAUGAAACUAAUCUUUAUUGUGUCCACUAUUGCAGCCCCCUUGGAAAGUCAGUCAUGCUCCGAGUAACUCCAAUCCUUUAUGCGAAAUGCCAAGGCAGAUUCAAGGUUAUUAUUCCAUGGUACAGAAUUAUGGGACGAACUAUUUGUGGAACGGUGGCGGUUCAGCAUCUUGGAGGAGGCAGCAAGAUAAUGUCAGAAUACAUAAGCAGCCAAUUAGUCGGCCAUGGGUUCUCAAUGCCAGAAGCAGCUGAAGAUAUCCAAAGGUCUAAAUCAAACUGUCCAGACUGAAACAUUGUCAUUUGAUCAGACUUCCACUUUUGGCUAGUUAGUUUCAAGGGAUUCUUAAAAAUGGGACACCAGGUUUAGGACGAAUUCAGGAUUCUGAAUGAAAUACGAGUUACAUGCAAACGAUUUGCAUGGGAUGAGAUAAAGUAAUCACGAGGAGAAUUCUCAUCUGUCAGUGCAAUGGAUGCUUCAAGUCAAGUCUGCAUACUGUGAUACUUCUAUUGCAAUGAGAUGCGGCGGUCGACGGCGGCGCCGCUGCUUUGGCCGGAGGCUGCAGCCUUAUGUUUACAACUUCAAAGGUAGGCUGACUCUGCUGGGAACUGUCCCAUUUUCCAAAGCAGAGAAAAGCUUUUGCUGUUGGAUUAUUGUCUGUCUUUCUAAUGAUUGUGAUUUCCCCCUUUAAUCUUAGUGUAUUAUAUUACAUGUGGUGAUGACUAAUUUGAUUGAUAGAAAUAUAUUUCGAAGAAAAAUGCAAAUUA